rnacentral:rRNA from 1 species
GACGAACGCUGGCGGCGUGCUUAACACAUGCAAGUCGAACGGAAAGGCCCUGCUUUUGUGGGGUGCUCGGGUGGCGAACGGGGGAGUAACACGUGAGUAACCUGCCCUUGACUUUGGGAUAACUUCAGGAAACUGGGGCUAAUACCGGAUAGGAGCUCCUGCUGCAAGGUGGGGGUUGGAAAGUUUAGGUGGUUGGGGAUGGACUCGCGGCUUAUCAGAUUGUUGGGGGGGUAGUGUCUUACCAAGGCUUUGACAGGUAGGGGACCUGAGAGGGUGACCGGCCACGUUACGACUGAAAUGCGGCACAGACCACAACGCGAGGCAGCGGUGGAGAAGGUUGCCUAGUGGGCGGAAGCCUGAUGUGGCACAGCCGCGUGCGGGAUGACAGCAAUCGGGUUGUAAACUAAUUUCGUCUGUGACGAAGCGUGAGUGACGGUAAUGGGUAAAGAAGCACCGGCUAACUACGUG